GAUGAACGCUGGCGGCAUGCCUUACACAUGCAAGUCGAACGGUAACGCGGGGCAACCUGGCGACGAGUGGCGAACGGGUUGAGUAAUAUAUCGGAACGUGCCCAGUAGUGGGGGAUAGCCCGGCGAAAGCCGGAUUAAGUACCGCAUGAGACCUGAGGGUGAAAGCGGGGGAUCGCAAGACCUCGCGCUAUUGGAGCGGCCGAUAUCAGAUUAGGUAGUUGGUGGGGUAAAGGCCUACCAAGCCGACGAUCUGUAGCUGGUCUGAGAGGACGACCAGCCACACUGGGACUGAGACACGGCCCAGACUCCUACGGGAGGCAGCAGUGGGGAAUCUUGGACAAUGGGCGAAAGCCUGAUCCAGCGACGCCGCGUGGAGGAAGAAGUCCUUCGGGAUGUAAACUUCUGAACUAGCCGAAUAAAAGGCCUGUGGACACACAGGAGAAGAAAGUAGGCUAGGAAAAGUCCCGGCUAACUACGUG
rnacentral:rRNA from 1 species